rnacentral:rRNA from 1 species
UACGUAGGGUGCGAGCGUUAAUCGGAAUUACUGGGCGUAAAGUGUGCGCAGGCGGCCGCGCAAGUCGAGUGUGAAAUCCCCGAGCUUAACUUGGGAAUUGCGCUCGAAACUACGUGGCUGGAGUGUGGCAGAGGAAGGUGGAAUUCCACGUGUAGCGGUGAAAUGCGUAGAGAUGUGGAGGAACACCGAUGGCGAAGGCAGCCCCCUGGGCUGACACUGACGCUCAGGCACGAAAGCGUGGGGAGCAAACAGG